GACGAACGCUGGCGGCGUGCCUAAUACAUGCAAGUUGAGCGCUGAAGGUUGGUACUUGUACCAACUGGAUGAGCAGCGCACGGGUGAGUAACGCGUGGGGAAUCUGCCUUUGAGCGGGGGACAACAUUUGGAAACGAAUGCUAAUACCGCAUAAAAACUUUAAACACAAGUUUGAAGUUUGAAAGAUGCAAUUGCAUCACUCAAAGAUGAUCCCGCGUUGUAUUAGCUAGUUGGUGAGGUAAAGGCGCACCAAGGCGAUGAUACAUAGCCGACCUGAGAGGGUGGUCGGCCACAUUGGGACUGUGACACGGCCCAAACUCCUUCGGGAGGCAGCAGUAGGGAAUCUUCGGCAAUGGACGAAAGUCUGACCGAGCAACGCCGCGUGAGUGAAGAAGGUUUUCGGAUCGUAAAACUCUGUUGGUAGAGAAGAACGUUGGUGAGAGUGGAAAGCUCAUCAAGUGACGGUAACUACCCAGAAAGGGACGGCUAACUACGUG
rnacentral:rRNA from 1 species